rfam:Triticum aestivum genome assembly, contig: Triticum_aestivum_CS42_TGACv1_scaffold_145901_2BS
UUUGUACUCCCUCCGUCCCAAAAUUCUUGUCUUAAAUUUGUCUAAAUAUGGAUGUAUCUAGUUACAUUUUAGUGUUAGAUACAUCCGUAUCUAAACAAAGGUAAGACAAGAAUUUUGGGGCGGAGGGAAUACUAC